rnacentral:rRNA from 1 species
ACUCAAAUGAAUUGACGGGGGCCCGCACAAGCAGCGGAGCGUGUGGUUUAAUUCGAGGCUACACGAAGAACCUUACCUGGGCUUGACAUGACUGUGAACGACGCUGAAAGGCGAAGGGCCGCAAGGCACAGCCACAGGUGCUGCAUGGCUGUCGUCAGCUCGUGCCGUGAGGUGUUAGGUUAAGUCCUGUAACGAGCGCAACCCCUGGGUCCAGUUACACGUUGUCUGGACCGACUGCCCGUGACAAGCGGGAGGAAGGUGGGGAUGACGUCAAGUCAGCAUGGCCUUUAUGUCCAGGGCUACACACACGCUACAAUGGCCGGUACAAUGGGUCGCCAAGCCGCAAGGCGCAGCCAAUCCUAUCAAAGCCGGUCACAGUUCGGAUUGUGGGCUGCAACCCGCCCACAUGAAGUCGGAGUUGCUAGUAACCGCGCGUCAGCCAUAGUGCGGUGAAUACGUUCCCGGGCCUUGUACACACCGCCCGU